rnacentral:rRNA from 2 species
AGGUUGGGUAACACUAACUGGAGGACCGAACCGACUAAUGUUGAAAAAUUAGCGGAUGACCUGUGGCUGGGGGUGAAAGGCCAAUCAAACCGGGAGAUAGCUGGUUCUCCCCGAAAGCUAUUUAGGUAGCGCCUCGUGAAUUCAUCUCCGGGGGUAGAGCACUGUUUCGGCUAGGGGGCCAUCCCGGCUUACCAACCCGAUGCAAACUGCGAAUACCGGAGAAUGUUAUCACGGGAGACACACGGCGGGUGCUAACGUCCGUCGUGAAGAGGGAAACAACCCAGACCGCCAGCUAAGGUCCCAAAGUCAUGGUUAAGUGGGAAACGAUGUGGGAAGGCCCAGACAGCCAGGAUGUUGGCUUAGAAGCAGCCAUCAUUUAAAGAAAGCGUAAUAGCUCACUGGUCGAGUCGGCCUGCGCGGAAGAUGUAACGGGGCUAAACCAUGCACCGAAGCUGCGGCAGCGACACUGUGUGUUGUUGGGUAGGGGAGCGUUCUGUAAGCCUGUGAAGGUGUGUCGUGAGGCAUGCUGGAGGUAUCAGAAGUGCGAAUGCUGACAUAAGUAACGAUAAAGCGGGUGAAAAGCCCGCUCGCCGGAAGACCAAGGGUUCCUGUCCAACGUUAAUCGGGGCAGGGUGAGUCGACCCCUAAGGCGAGGCCGAAAGGCGUAGUCGAUGGGAAACGGGUUAAUAUUCCCGUACUUGGUGUUACUGCGAAGGGGGGACGGAGAAGGCUAUGUUGGCCGGGCGACGGUUGUCCCGGUUUAAGCGUGUAGGUGUGUGUUCCAGGUAAAUCCGGUUCACUUUAACACUGAGGCGUGACGACGAGGCACUACGGUGCUGAAGCAACAAAUGCCCUGCUUCCAGGAAAAGCCUCUAAGCAUCAGGUAACAUCAAAUCGUACCCCAAACCGACACAGGUGGUCAGGUAGAGAAUACCAAGGCGCUUGAGAGAACUCGGGUGAAGGAACUAGGCAAAAUGGUGCCGUAACUUCGGGAGAAGGCACGCUGACACGUAGGUGAAGUGAUUUACUCAUGGAGCUGAAGUCAGUCGAAGAUACCAGCUGGCUGCAACUGUUUAUUAAAAACACAGCACUGUGCAAACACGAAAGUGGACGUAUACGGUGUGACGCCUGCCCGGUGCCGGAAGGUUAAUUGAUGGGGUCAGCGCAAGCGAAGCUCCUGAUCGAAGCCCCGGUAAACGGCGGCCGUAACUAUAACGGUCCUAAGGUAGCGAAAUUCCUUGUCGGGUAAGUUCCGACCUGCACGAAUGGCGUAAUGAUGGCCAGGCUGUCUCCACCCGAGACUCAGUGAAAUUGAACUCGCUGUGAAGAUGCAGUGUACCCGCGGCAAGACGGAAAGACCCCGUGAACCUUUACUAUAGCUUGACACUGAACAUUGAGCCUUGAUGUGUAGGAUAGGUGGGAGGCUUUGAAGUGUGGACGCCAGUCUGCAUGGAGCCGACCUUGAAAUACCACCCUUUAAUGUUUGAUGUUCUAACGUGGACCCGUUACCCGGGUUGCGGACAGUGUCUGGUGGGUAGUUUGACUGGGGCGGUCUCCUCCUAAAGAGUAACGGAGGAGCACGAAGGUUGGCUAAUCCUGGUCGGACAUCAGGAGGUUAGUGCAAUGGCAUAAGCCAGCUUGACUGCGAGCGUGACGGCGCGAGCAGGUGCGAAAGCAGGUCAUAGUGAUCCGGUGGUUCUGAAUGGAAGGGCCAUCGCUCAACGGAUAAAAGGUACUCCGGGGAUAACAGGCUGAUACCGCCCAAGAGUUCAUAUCGACGGCGGUGUUUGGCACCUCGAUGUCGGCUCAUCACAUCCUGGGGCUGAAGUAGGUCCCAAGGGUAUGGCUGUUCGCCAUUUAAAGUGGUACGCGAGCUGGGUUUAGAACGUCGUGAGACAGUUCGGUCCCUAUCUGCCGUGGGCGCUGGAGAACUGAGGGGGGCUGCUCCUAGUACGAGAGGACCGGAGUGGACGCAUCACUGGUGUUCGGGUUGUCAUGCCAAUGGCACUGCCCGGUAGCUAAAUGCGGAAGAGAUAAGUGCUGAAAGCAUCUAAGCACGAAACUUGCCCCGA